rnacentral:rRNA from 1 species
AUUGAACGCUGGCGGCAUGCCUUACACAUGCAAGUCGAACGGCAGCGGACCUUCGGGUGCCGGCGAGUGGCGAACGGGUGAGUAAAGUAUCGGAACGUACCUUUCAGUGGGGGAUAACGUAGCGAAAGUUACGCUAAUACCGCAUAUUCUGUGAGCAGGAAAGCAGGGGAUCGCAAGACCUUGCGCUGAUUGAGCGGCCGAUAUCAGAUUAGCUAGUUGGUGAGGUAAAGGCUCACCAAGGCGACGAUCUGUAGCGGGUCUGAGAGGAUGAUCCGCCACACUGGAACUGAGACACGGUCCAGACUCCUACGGGAGGCGGCAGUGGGGAAUAUUGGACAAUGGGCGAAAGCCUGAUCCAGCGGCGCCGCGUGGGUGAAGAAGGCCUGCGGGUUGUAAAGCCCUUUCGGUAGGGACGAAAGCUCUUGCCCUAACAAGGCAGGAGGUUGACUUAACCUACAUAAGAAGCACCGGCUAACUCUGUGCCAGCAGCCGCAGUAAUAC